CUCUGUGACUCCUACGGGAGGCAGCAGUAGGGAAUCUUGCGCAAUGGGGGAAACCCUGACGCAGCAACGCCGCGUGUGGGAUGACGGCUUUCGGGUUGUAAACCACUUUCAGUGAUGACGAAAAUGACGGUAAUCACAGAAGAAGGUCCGGCCAACUACGUGCCAGCAGCCGCGGUAACACGUAGGGACCGAGCGUUGUCCGGAUUUAUUGGGCGUAAAGAGCUCGUAGGCGGUUCUGUAAGUCGGAUGUGAAAACUCAGGGCUCAACCCUGAGACGCCAUCUGAUACUGCAGUGACUAGAGUCCGGUAGAGGAAGAUGGAAUUCCUGGUGUAGCGGUGGAAUGCGCAGAUAUCAGGAGGAACACCAAUGGCGAAGGCAGUCUUCUGGGCCGGUACUGACGCUGAGGAGCGAAAGCAUGGGGAGCAAACAGGAUUAGAUACCCUGGUAG
rnacentral:rRNA from 1 species